UUAGAGGCAAACGGGUGGACCCGCAAUACGUCGACCCGGGGGAUUCAACCAGGCCGUGCGUUCGGGACGCGUGGGGGUUAUGCGGAGCUGUAAAGCCCGUGCCUUUGCGUAGGUCUCCGGGCGGACUGGUGCACUUUCCUCGGGUUGAUUGCCACGACCGGCUCUCCGUGCGGCCACAAGCCUUUGCUGGGAAGGUGACCGUCGGCCUCCGCGCCGGCGGUGUUAUAGACCAGCUUGUUCGUUGAGCUCGUCGGAGGGCCGAGGAAGUGUUGCCGUUUCUCAGCCACCCUCCGGCCAUCCUUGCUCGUCACGACUGGGGUGAACUGCUUCGUCAGUGCUCUCCCGACCGCGAGCGUAGGAAGGGCUGGUACGGUGCGAGAAAGCUUCGGGCCAGUGGCGAAUCGGUCGGUCCUCCACCCGACCCGUCUUGAA
rnacentral:rRNA from 2 species